rnacentral:lncRNA from 1 species
GGCAACGUGGGCUCGCUGUAAGAGAACCUGUCGACCUUCGCAGCUGUCGCUCCGUCCGCGUCUUCCUCCCUCCGUCCCACGGCUCCAUCACCUGGGUUCAGUCUGCCGCUCUCUCCCAGGUGUUGGUACCUGCCGCUGCCCGUCUGUCUGCCUCCUCCUCUGGUCCGUCUGUAAUUCACAAAGUCAUCACAGGAAGGACGAUGGAGGGAGGGAGGAGGGAGCAGAAAGGGAUUCAUCAGGAGCCAGAAGCUCUUUUUUAUCCUGAAUGGCAAAAAAAAAAAAGGGUCUUUCCAGCUUCAUCACAGGCCGAUGGCAGAUCUGAGAUAUCGGGGAGGUUUUGGAGAAUGGCCUUUUCUCCUCGGCAGCUUUGCCAACUGGAACUCUCUCUGGACGAGGAGCAGGAUCGACGUCUCCAGGGCGGCGUGGAACAAGACGUUUACUCGACAUAUUUGAGCAGCGCUGGAAGUUUCAGCUCUUUUCAAAUGGUUCUACGUCGUCACAGAGCCACAUCGACCGUCGGAGCUGAAGCUGCAUUAUUUUCACUUUGAACAGGAAUAAAAACACCAUGAAGUCUGUACUUGGAAGAACAUAUCAAUACGUAUGAACACGCCUAUUGUUCACUAUUGAGCCGUUUCUUUCUUCUGCGUCACUUCAGCUCGGACGUUAUUGAUCGAAUGUGAAAAACAUGAGUCCACCUCAGAGUUUCUCAUCAUGUCACAGACGUGCAGUCUUUAUUGAAAUGUGCUUGCAUAUCAAAGAGUCACAGUUUAUUUCCUGUCGUGUGACGGAUGUAUUUGUAGAUACUGCAGCAGCUCACGUUCAGUUUUCACACUGCUCAAGGGAAAAUAUUUGUUAUUUUGUUUCACUAUUUCAUUUAUUUGAAGAUAUUUGGUAUAAUGCCUGCUGGAAUGUUAAAUAGAAAAAGUUCAGUGUCAGAUAAACAUUUAAAAUUUGUAGUUUUUGUAAUUGAUUUUGAUUUUGAACAGAUGACAAAUUCACAUGCGGUAUUCCGCCAAGUGUUUCAUUCUUUUCGGUUUCACAAUUUUCUUAUUUCGGUUGUCAGCUGUCAUCUGCGCAUGAACGGUCGUCGUCGUUCGAAAAACAAGAUCCAAUGACUCCUGUCUUUGAAGAUGUCCGGGUUUCAAGAAGAAAUGUCUACGUAAGUAAGUCACAGGCGUCUGUUCGUCAUCACAGACGUAGACGGACGUUCUCUCCAGUAGGACACACGUGCAUGUGGUGGGACGGCUUGUUAGUGCCGCCGCCGGCCUCCAUGUGCCGGGGGAUGAAACACAACGGAGGAGGCGUCGCGCCUCCAUCCUCCCGUGUCUUAAGUGGCAGACGUGGUCUGAUUACAGCUGUGGGACUCACUGGGAGUCACUCCGUCAAUCAUGACCUUCUGGUGUGAUCACGCCACCGAUCACAGCGACGGCUCCAUUGAUUGAAUGAAUAUUCAUUCUUGUGUGUUCUCAGGAGACUUUGCUUUUACAACCUCAGACCUCGGCGUCAAUGAAGACAAGGAUCAUUUACUUCAGAUGGAUUUCCUGCGCGAGUAACCUCUUUGAUUGUGGAUCUGUGGAUUGGUCAACUGAUGUAAUGACUUUCUGGUAUAUGCUCACGCACACUUUCACUCCUUUUAAACCAACCAACCACUUUUCCAUCAAACUGUUUUGUCUUGCCUUUCAAAGGCUCGUCUCAGAAAGGAAGAGGACCCAGUAUCUUUAAACCUGUAGAUUAAAUAUAAAUGCUGUUGUGAUCCAUCGCUGUGAUGCUCCCAUAUCUACUCUUUGUUCACCGCGCAUGAAUCAGGAGCUUCUGUCCAGAGCGAGCGAUUGAAAAGGACGAGGCACCGGGCGAGUUGGAGGUAGAUGCAAAGGCCUCACCUCCUCAUGUGACUAUGGAUCAUUAGAUCACACGACGGAACAGUCUGGUGAUUAGUCUCGUUUCAUCACACGGAUCGAUUCCGAAAGAAAAGCAGAGAAUAGAAUUGACUGUUGUUCUUUCCGUCUCAGCAGGAUCAUGUCGCGGAUGUGUAACCGGCUCAGGUCCUCCUGAGGCCUUCACCCUAUUCAACAUUAUCUGACGAGUCAGUCUGUCGGGGCCAAGGAACUCAGUUACUUCUUUAACACCAUCUAAAUUUAUGAAAAUCGAUAAUAAAAAUGAACAAAAGAGCUGUAAAGACUUACAUCGAGGGGGAUGCCGUUCCAUGAGGUUUGAACUCGAAAGAAACUGAGAUCCAGAGUUUGUAAAAUAUUUAAGUCUUUUGAUUAAUAAAUUAUAAGCAGACAAUAACUGUCUCAUCUGAAGGAAGCGAACUUGUAGUUUCUUCCAUCUUCUCUGCUUUUCCAAAUUCUCUUUGUGGAUGAGGAGCGUCCUCGUCGUUACCCGAGGUGAGUGAUUCUGACUCGCGUCUCGACCGCGGCCUGAUGGGAGCAAUGCGAUCGUGGAAACAUUAAACCGAUCACCCAGGUAAUUUGCUUCAUAACACCUGGUUAGGCCGCCGCUCUGAGCAGAGAGAACACGGGGGUGAAACGAUUGGCUGAUCUCAUUAAGGAUGCGACAGUGAGCCGUACGUUUUGAGGGAUGAGCAGCUACUUCAGAGGCAAAGUCCCUCAAAAGUCUUGGAGUUGAUGAAUAAAAACCGUAGUAAAAACCAAAUCAAGAGUGGGGCCUUGUUCAUGUGUGGGAUGUGAUCUACCAGCGAGGUCGUCCACACGACUACUGACGUCUUCGACCGAGAAAAACUGAAAUAAAAACCAGAGACAUCAGAUAAGAAGGAACUGUACUACUGGGUUCAGGGGGCGAUGGUCUUAAUGCUGCCUUCAUGUGCCAGUUGAAAGAUGCUACUUCCCACUUGUGAAGGCGCAAUUAUGAGAAGGUCAUGUUCAAGUGUUGUGUUGUGAAAUGGCAAAAAGGCCAAUGCAAUAACUUUGUACCGCGCUAGCAGACUGUGGUCUGUUUACUAUGGAUAGACCGAUAAAUGGCAUUGGUCUAUAUCAAGUUAGGUGAACAUAGAUUACAGAUUAACAGCUUAUACUUGUCGCACUGUUAUAAAAUAAAGAAGUACGUACCAUCCAUUACUGGAUCUGUCCUCUUCUCCGACAUGUGGAAGGGUUCUGGUCGCCCCAACUGGGGAACUCUGGUCUCCAAAUUAGCAACUCGUAUUUACCAUAGCGUCGAUACCACAUGAAGACACCAGCUCCGCUGAGCUCUCCCUUUCAUUCAGCGCUAAUUGUGACAAUCAUUCCACCGGGACGUCGAGCGGCUCCAUCAGUGCCGUCGCUCCAGUCGCGGCUGCUCCUUCUCCGUUGCUCCGGCCUGAAUCCCCCCGUGGCCGUCGCUCCCCUCAGAGCCUCCCACAUCCCGUCAUCGGGCAGCAGGCGACUGAAGACCAGAUGAGACCAGAUGAGACCAGAUGAGACCAGAUGAGACCAGAUGAGAACAGAUGAGACCAGAUGAGACCAGAUGAGACCAGAUGAGAACAGAUGAGACCAGAUGAGACCAGAUGAGACCAGAUGAGAACAGAUGAGACCAGAUGAGAACAGAUGAGACCAGAUGAGACCAGAUGAGACCAGAUGAGAACAGAUGAGACCAGAUGAGAACAGAUGAGACCAGAUGAGAACAGAUGAGAACAGAUGAGACCAGAUGAGACCAGAUGAGAGCAGAUGAGAACAGAUGAGACCAGAUGAGACCAGAUGAGACCAGAUGAGACCAGAUGAGACCAGAUGAGACCAGAUGAGAACAGAUGAGAACAGAUGAGACCAGAUGAGACCAGAUGAGAGC